GAAAAUCAAAUGGUUGCUGCCUUACUAAGUCAACACUGUUAGAUUGUUUAUUUUAUUAAAAAUAAUAACAAAGAGUAGUCAAGAAUACUUUUCUUUCUAAAAAAUACAAAGAGUUGUCAAGAAUACAUUAUAACAUUGACAACACAUGAUGUUUAUGUUUACUUGGCCAAACCUCAGAAAAAAAAUGGCAUGAAAUCCUAUAGUACUGCAUAGUCCGCACCCCAUCCAUCAAUUUCAUUUCCAGGGUAAAAAACCGCGGACUAUCAGUGGCGUAGCUGGGUCAUUUUUACGUGUACGCCCGAACCUUCGCGAGGGAUAUGGGAGUACCAACCGCUCAAUGUUAAAGCACCUACUGAUGGUGGGUUCGAAAGGGACGAAGCCCCCCGAGAGCUAUCGAGAAUGAGAUACCAUAAUAAUUCCUGUAAAAAAAAUCCUUGAUAGCAACAUUCUUUUGAAUCUAAAUGGCUUAUUUGUUUCGGUUAAAUUUUGUUAUUAUACUAUAAACUUAUCCAUCGUGUUAAACUUGAAACUAGCCUAAUGGUCAAUGGUUUCAGAGAAAACGUCCAAACCAAUAUUAUUUUUAAAUAAGUUUACCUCACGAGAGAGCAUACAAUCGACAAAAGCACCUUUUAAUGAACACGAACAAAAAAAUAUUUCUUACAGGUGCUAUAUAAAAAAAAAUCUGGAACACCUAGGAUUUCUUCCCACAA
rnacentral:lncRNA from 1 species